rnacentral:rRNA from 1 species
GAUCAUGGCUCAGGAUGAACGCUAGCGACAGGCUUAACACAUGCAAGUCGAGGGGCAGCAUAAUUUGUAGCAAUACAGAUUGAUGGCGACCGGCGCACGGGUGACGUAACGCGUAUGCAACUUACCUAUCAGGAGGGGGAUAGCCCGGCGAAAGUCGGAUUAAUACCCCCAUAAAACGAGGGGUCCCGCAUGGGAAUAUUUGUUAAAGAUUCAUCGCUGAUAGAUAGGCAUGCGUU